rnacentral:rRNA from 1 species
AUUGAACGCUGGCGGCAGGCUUAACACAUGCAAGUCGAGCGGGGGAAGGUAGCUUGCUACCGGACCUAGCGGCGGACGGGUGAGUAAUGCUUAGGAAUCUGCCUAUUAGUGGGGGACAACAUCUCGAAAGGGAUGCUAAUACCGCAUACGUCCUACGGGAGAAAGCAGGGGAUCUUCGGACCUUGCGCUAAUAGAUGAGCCUAAGUCGGAUUAGCUAGUUGGUGGGGUAAAGGCCUACCAAGGCGACGAUCUGUAGCGGGUCUGAGAGGAUGAUCCGCCACACUGGGACGGAGACACGGCCCAGACUCCUACGGGAGGCAGCAGUGGGGAAUAUUGGACAAUGGGGGGAACCCUGAUCCAGCCAGGCCGCGUGUGUGAAGAAGGCCUUAUGGUUGUAAAGCACUUUAAGCGAGGAGGAGGCUACUCUAGUUAAUACCUAGGGAUAGUGGACGUUACUCGCAGAAUAAGCACCGGCUAACUCUGUGCCAGCCGCCGCGGUAA